GUCAGGAUGGCCGAGCGGUCUAAGGCGCCAGACUCAAGAGCAAUCUUGCCGUAAAAGCAACGGUUACUGAGCGUUCUGGUCCUCUCUGAGGGCGUGGGUUCAAAUCCCACUUCUGACA
rnacentral:tRNA from 1 species